AUGGCGGGCCUAUUUUGGAAUGCAAGAGGGCUGGGUGAACCUGAAAAGAGAAGAUUUCUGAGGGAAUCUAUCUCGGAGCAUAGUUUAGAGUUUGUUUGUGUGCAAGAAACAAAAAAGAAGGACUUUGAUGAGGCUUGGUUGGCUGGAGUGAGUGGUAGAUUUACUUAUAUUUGGUUGUGGCAGCCCUCUUAAGGUGCUUCGGGGGGGCUGCUUAUGGGGGUUCGGGAAGAUCUGUUUGAGGUAGACGUCUGUAUUGCAGGAAGAUACAUGACCAGGAUGGUUAUUAUGGAUAAAAGAUCAGGAUUCAAGUGGAAUCUGAUCAAUGUCUAUGGAGCUGCUCAUGUGAGGAAUAAGGCAGAGUUCCUGGUGGAUCUAGUUCAAGCUUUGGGGUACAAUAAAUUGCCUUGUGUUCUUGGGGGUGAUUUUAACUUAAAACUUCCUAAAUGGUCGUUUUAUUUUAAUUCUGUUAUUGAGCAUUGGGGAUUAAAAGAAUUAGAUUUGUCUGGGAGGAGCUAUAUUUGGUCGAAUAAUCAAGAGGAUCCGCUUUUUGCUAAGUUGGAUAGAAGUUUAGUUAGCUCCCUCUGGGAGCAGCAAUUUCCUUUAGUUACUGUCAGAACCUUGGUGAGAGGGGUUUCUGGCCAUGCAGCGCUUCUAUUACAUACAGGGAUUAAAUCU
rnacentral:rRNA from 1 species